rnacentral:rRNA from 1 species
AUGAACGCUAGCGACAGGCUUAACACAUGCAAGUCGAGGGGCAGCAUAAAAGUAGCAAUACUUGGUGGCGACCGGCGCACGGGUGAGUAACGCGUAUGCAACAUACCUAUCAGAGGGGAAUAACCCGGCGAAAGUCGGACUAAUACCGCAUAAAACAGGGACACCGCAUGGUGAUAUUUGUUAAAGAAAUUCGCUGAUAGAUGGGCAUGCGUUCCAUUAGGUAGUUGGUGAGGUAACGGCUCACCAAGCCGACGAUGGAUAGGGGAACUGAGAGGUUGGUCCCCCACACUGGUACUGAGACACGGACCAGACUCCUACGGGAGGCAGCAGUGAGGAAUAUUGGUCAAUGGACGAGAGUCUGAACCAGCCAAGUCGCGUGCAGGAAGAAUGUCCUUAAUGGAUUGUAAACUGCUUUUGCAGGGGAAUAAAGUGCAUCACGUGUGAUGUUUUGUAUGUACUCUGCGAAUAAGGAUCGGCUAACUCCGUGCCAGCAGCCGC